rnacentral:rRNA from 1 species
UACCAGCUCUCCGAGUGGUGUGGACGUUUAUUGGGCCUAAAGCAUCCGUAGCUGGCUGGGCAAGUCCCCUGUUAAAUCCACCGAUUUAAUCGUUGGUGUGCGGGGGAUACUGCUCGGCUAGGGGACGAGAGAGGCAAGCGGUAUUCCCGGGGUAGGGGUGAAAUCCUAUAAUCCCGAGAAGACCACCAGUGGCGAAGGCUGCUUGCUAGAACGCGCCCGACGGUGAGGGAUGAAAGCUGGGGGAGCGAACCGGAUUAGAUACCCGGGUAGUCCCAGCUGUAAACGAUGCAGACUAGGUGUUUGGACGGCCACGUGCCGUUCUAGUGCCGCAGGGAAGCUGUUAAGUCUGCCGCCUGGGGAGUACGAUCGCAAGAUUGAAACUUAAAGGAAUUGGCGGGGGAGCACCACAAGGGGUGAAGCUUGCGGUUUAAUUGGAGUCAACGCCGGAAAUCUCACCGGGAGCGACAGCAGUGUGAUAGCCAGAUUAAAGGUCUUGCUAGACGAGCU